GAUGAACGCUAGCGGCAGGCUUAAUACAUGCAAGUCGUGGGGCAGCAGGUUUGUAGCAAUACAGAUGCUGGCGACCGGCAAACGGGUGCGGAACACGUACACAACCUUCCUUAAGUGGGGAAUAGCCCAGAGAAAUUUGGAUUAAUACCCCGUAACAUUAUGGUGUGGCAUCACAUUAUAAUUAUAGCUACGGCGCUUAAUGAUGGGUGUGCGGCUGAUUAGGUAGUUGGCGGGGUAACGGCCCACCAAGCCUGCGAUCAGUAACUGGUGUGAGAGCACGACCAGUCACACGGGCACUGAGACACGGGCCCGACUCCUACGGGAGGCAGCAGUAAGGAAUAUUGGGCAAUGGAGGAAACUCUGACCCAGCCAUGCCGCGUGGAGGAUGAAGGUCCUCUGUAUUGUAAACUUCUUUUAUAUGGGACGAAAAAGGGUCUUUCUAGGUCAACUGACGGUACCAUAUGAAUAAGCACCGGCUAACUCCGUGCCAGCAGCCGCAGUAAAAC
rnacentral:rRNA from 1 species